CCACCCUCCUCCACCCCCAUUCAGGGUCCUGCCUGAAAGCUCUGCCUCCCCAUCCCCAGAGCACCUGCCACUGAGCCCAGCGCUUCAUUUUCAAAGGCUGAUGAAAAGAGGUAAAGUGUCUGCCUGCAAUGUGGGAGACCUGGGUGCUAUUCCUGAGCCUGGAAGAUCCCCUGGAGAAGGAAAUGGCAAUCCACUCCAGCGCUCUUGCCUGGAAAAUCCCAUGGACGGAGGCGCCUGAUAGGCUACAGUCCAUGGGGUCGCAAAGAGUAGGACACGAUUGAGCGGCUUCGCUUUCACUUUCCCCUUUCGAGUACAGUGAAGGACACGCUGCUGUCUUAUGAAACCCCCGCGGCUGUGCAGGAAGCAUUCUGAUUUUCCUGGAAAUAUCUAAACGAGGUAGGAGAAACUUAGGCACAGUCUAUCACACAGGACACCCAGGAAUUGCUUGUUCCUGUACUAGUCUUGAGCGAGUAUAAAGGCAAGUGAGCCCCCUGGGAGGCUUGUCACCCACCACGCCGCCCACACUCAAAUGUAGUUUUGUAAAGUCGCACCUGUCCUGUGAACAAGAGGCUCCUUUCUCCCUCUCAAAAUGUGUGUUGAAAAAACACCUUAGAUAGUGUUAUAGACUCUUACUUGACCUGGUGUGUGAUCUUCAAAUUAACAUUUCUUUUUUUCCUUUCUAGCUGAACUACUAUGAUUCUAUCAAAGCUGUCAUUUCAAGCUCCAACCACGAGCCCGCUGCUCUAGUCCUAGGGUGCACUCUGGGAACAACAAAUGUCGAGCAAAAGAUGAAAGAAAUAAAGGAUGUUGGGGAAAAUGUCAAAGCAAGAAAAGACCAAGCAUUCCUUGGUUUGCCCCAAAGGCGAGCAGAAUGUGAUCAAACGGUUUUCUGCAUCCACAAAGGAGUCAAGGCAUUUACGUUCUGCAAGGGAAAGAACUUACUGUUGACAGGUGGAAUGCAUCGGAUAAUUAGAGUCUGGAAUCCUUAUCUGCCUGGAAAACCAACAGGUAUGCUGAGAAGCCACACAGCUCCAGUGAUUUACAUCCAUGUGUCUGCUGAGGAUAACAAGAUAUUUUCCAUGUCCACCCACAACACCAUUGAGGUCUUUGCCCUGUUAUGUUUUGAUGUGUUAUCCAGUGCGGUUUCAGACAGAGAAGGUGUUCCUUUCAUGUUUUCAUUCCUCUCUCUGGAGCCUUUGGGGCCUCUGAUUAGCAGAUACUCAGAUGACACUUGCUUCCAUGGAUCUGCUUUUGAAAGGAAGAAUAGGCAAGCAGGGGAAGGGCAGCCUUUCCGAGAACUUUCUAUACCUGCUGUUUUGUUGGGAUGAGUAAACGUUAUAGCACUGAGCCCUCUGCUUACACUCCAUCCAGAGAUUCCUUGUGAGAAUGCAGGUUGGGGAUGGAGAGGGGGAGCUGGGGACAGAAUGGGGACAAGAGUCAGCAGUCCUUUGCCUCUAGAGGUGGUCAUCUUAUCUUGCAGUACACAGAGAGCAAGUGGGCCCUUUCUGAAACGCUCUCUCCAAGGCUUAGAAUUUAAACCUUUCUGGCCCUGGCAGAGGUAGCAACAUCCCUACCUUCAGUUUGUUUGCCUUCAUACCUCUUUUUAUACCCAGGGUCCUGUCUGCCUCUAAAGACCAGUCACUCUGUUAUCUCUGGAAUACGCUAUUUUUUUAAAUAAAAAAGAAGAAAAACCUCACUGAUUUGUUUCAUCCAUCACCUCAUAUGCUUUUCCAGUAAAUAUGACAAAUUUCCAUGGCUCAUCCACCUUCUUUUCUGGACUGUCACAGGGCCAGAGGAUGGGUGUUUAGAGCAAUAUGAGUUGCUGGACCCUCAGGACAGAGAUCAUAUUCACUGCAGAUAUAUAAACCAGCUCACUGACCCCUCACAUAAUAAAUGAUUGAUAGACACUGAGCUGAACUGUGUCUCUUCAAAAUUCAUAUGUCAAAGUGUUAACUCCCAGUACUUUAGAAUAUGGUUGUUUUUACAGAUAAGGCCUAUAAAGAAAUUGCUGGGUUUUUGCUUAGUCACUAAGUCAUGUCCAAUUCUUUUGAAACCCCAUGGACUAUAGCCCGCCAGGCUCCUCUGUCUACGGGAUUUCUCAGGCAAGAAUACUGGAGUGGGUCACCAUUUCCUUCUCCAGGGGAUCUUCCCAACCCAGGGAUUGAACCCAAGUCUCUUGCAUCCCCUGCACUGGCUGGCAGAUUCCUGACCACUGAGCCCCAGGGAAGCCCCUACAAAGCAAUACUGAAGGUUAAAUGAGGUCAUGUUGGUGGGCCCUAAUCUAGUACGACUGAUGUCCUUAUAAGAAGAGGAAAUCAGGACACUUAGACUGAGAGGCAACCUUGCAAGGACACAGCAGGAAGAUGGUCUUCUGCAAGCCCAGGAGAAAGGCCAUUGAAGAAUCCAAAUCUUUCCAUGCCUUGAUUUUGGACUUAAAUCUCUUACUUCACACUGUACAAAAAGGUUAACUCAAAACGGAUCAUAGACCUAACUGUAAAAAGAGCUACACCUACCAAACUCAUAGAAGAAAACAUGGGACCAAAUCUUCGUGACCUUGGUCUAGGCAAUGAUUUCUUAGAUAUGGCAUCAAAAGCAUAAGAGACUAAAGGAAAAAAUGAGUUGAUUUCCUCAAAAAUAAAAACUCGUGCUUUAAAGGACAAUAUUAAGAAAGUGAUUAGACAGCCUACAGGAUGAGACAAAAUACCUGCAAACCACAUAUCUGAUGAGGGACUUGCACCUAGAAUACAAAGAACUCAGUGCUCAGCACUAAAAGCACAAAUAGCUUAUUUUUAAAUGGGCAAAGGACUUGGACAGAAAGACCUUUAAAGAAAAUAUUCAAACGGCCAGUAAACACAGGACAAGAUGCUCAACAUCAUUAAUCACUAUGAAAAUUCAAACCACGCCCAUUAGGAUGGCUAACAUUAAAAGAUAGAUGAUAACAAAUGUUGGCAAAGAAGUAGAGAAAUUGGAACCUUUGUGGAUUGCUGGUAGGAAUUUAAAUGGUACAGCCACUUUGGAAAACAUUUUGGUACUUCUUUAAAUGCUAACCAGAAAGUUAACAUAUGACCUAGCAUUUCCACUCCUGGGUUUAUACCCAAGAGAACCGAAAACAUCUGUUCACAAAAAUACUUACAUAUUCAUAGCAGCAUUCAUGACAGCCAAAGAGUAGAAAUAAACCAACUGUCCACGAACCAAGGAAUGGAUAAACAAAAUCUGAUCAGCCAUACAAUGGGGCAUUAUUCAGCAACAGAAAAUAGAAAUGAAGCACUAUCAUAUGAUACAACACAGAAAACAUGAGAAGCUCUAAGUGUUAAGUGAAAGCCAGUCACAGAGGGCUGUGUACUGUGUAAUUCCGUUUAUAUGAAAUGUCCAGAGUAGGCAAAUUCAGAGACAGAAAUGAGCUUAGUGCCUGUCACGGGGUGGGGUGAGGUGGGAAUAGGGGGCAGCAAUUAAUGGGUAUGGGGUUUCCUUUUGGAGGAAUGAAAAUUUUUUGAAAUUCGUGUCAAUGGUUGCACAACUCUGUGAAUAUGCCAAAAACCAUUGAAUUGUAUGCUUUAAAAUGUAAAUUUUGUAGUAUGUGGAUUAAAUGUCAAUAAAGCUGUGAUUGGAAGAAAAGUUAUGACCAACCUAGAUACUAUAUUCAAAAGCAGAGACAUUACUUUGCCGACUAAGGUCCGUCUAGUCAAGGCUAUGGUUUUUCCUGUGGUCAUGUAUGGAUGUGAGAAUUGGACUGUGAAGAAGGCUGAGCGCCGAAGAAUUGAUGCUUUUGAACUGUGGUGUUGGAGAAGACUCUUGAGAGUCCCUUGGACUGCAAGGAGAUCCAACCAGUCCAUUCUGAAGGAGAUCAGCCCUGGGAUUUCUUUGGAGGGAAUGAUGCUAAAGCUGAAGCUCCAGUACUUUGGCCACCUCAUGUGAAGAGUUGACUCAUUGGAAAAGACUGUGAUGCUGGGAGGGAUUGGGGGCAGGAGGAGAAGGGGACGACCAAGGAUGAGAUGGCUGGAUGGCAUCACGGACUCAAUGGACGCGACUCUGAGUGAACUCCGGAAGUUGGUGAUGGACAGGGAGGCCUGGCGUGCUGCAAUUCAUGGGGUCGCAAAGAUUCGGACACGACUGAGCGACUGAACUGAACUGAACUGAAAGCUGUGAUUUUCUUUUUUUUUGUUUUUAAAGAAGAGGGGGAGU
rnacentral:lncRNA from 1 species